GGAAUAUUGGACAAUGGGCGCAAGCCUGAUCCAGCAACGCCGCGUGGAGGACGAAGGUCUUCGGAUCGUAAACUCCUGUCAGAUGGGACGAAGGGUUCAGGGUGAAUAGUCCUGGAUCUGGACGGUACUAUCAGAGGAAGCCCCGUCGAACUCCGUGCCAGCAGCCGCGGUAAUACGGAGGGGGCGAGCGUUAUUCGGAAUUAUUGGGCGUAAAGGGCGCGUAGGCGGCUUGGCAAGUCAAAUGUGAAAUCCCUCGGCUCAACUGAGGAACUGCCUUUGAAACUGCCUGGCUUGAGGCCGGGAGGGGGUAGCGGAAUUCCCAGUGUAGCGGUGAAAUGCGUAGAUAUUGGGAGGAACACCAGUGGCGAAGGCGGCUACCUGGACCGGUUCUGACGCUGAUGCGCGAAAGCGUGGGUAGCAAAC
rnacentral:rRNA from 1 species